rnacentral:misc_RNA from 1 species
UCCCUGUUACCAGGGCAGUCUAGCUAGAAAAAUACAACUAACUACAAGGGUUGCGCUCGUUGAUGGACUUAACCAAACAUCUCACGACACGAGCUGACGACGGCCAUGCAUCACCUGUCACUGCGGCCCGAAGGCACACUCGCCUUUCGGCGAACUUGGCAGGAUGUCAAGCCUGGGUAAGGUUCUUCGCUUACCAUCGAAUUAAACAACACGCUCCACCGCUUGUGCGGGUCCCCGUCAAUUCCUUUAUGUUUUAAGCUUGCGCUCGUACUCCACAGGCGGGAUGCUUAACGCGUUAGCUUCGCUACUACCAGGGUCGAUACUGAUAACAGCUAGCAUCCAUCGUUUACGGCGUGGACUA